rnacentral:rRNA from 1 species
UCCGUAGGUGAACCUGCGGAAGGAUCAUUACAGAGUUCAUGCCCGAAAGGGUAGACCUCCCACCCUUGUGUAUUAUUACUUGGUUGCUUUGGCGAGUGCCUUCGGGCCUUGUAUGCUCGCCAGAGAAUCCAAAACUCUUGUUAUUAAUGUCGUCUGAGUAGUAUAUAAUAGUUAAAACUUUCAACUAACGGAUCUCUUGGUUCUGGCUAUAGAUGAAGAACGCAGUUGAAAUGCGAUAAGUAAUGUGAAUUGCAGAAUUCAGUGAAUCAUCGAAUCUUUGAACGCACAUUGCGCCCGCCAGUAUUCUGGCGGGCAUGCCUGUCCGAGCGUCAUUUCAACCCUCGAACCCCUCCGGGGGGUCGGCGUUGGGGAUCGGCCCUCCCUUAGCGGGUGGCCGUCUCCGAAAUACAGUGGCGGUCUCGCCGCAGCCUCUCCUGCGCAGUAGUUUGCACACUCGCAUCGGGAGCGCGGCGCGUCCACAGCCGUUAAACACCCAACUUCUGAAAUGUUGACCUCGGAUCAGGUAGGAAUACCCGCUGAACUUAAGCAUAUCAAUAAGCGGAGG